rnacentral:rRNA from 1 species
GACAGAGGUGGCAAGCGUUGUUCGGAUUGAUUGGGUGUAAAGGGUGCGUAGGCGGUUUGGAAAGUCGGAUGUGAAAUCCUAUGGCUUAACCAUAGAAUUGCAUUCGAAACUUCCGAACUCGAGUGCGGGAGAGGUGAAGGGAAUUCCCGGUGUAAGGGUGAAAUCUGUAGAGAUCGGGAGGAACACCAGUAGCGAAGGCGCUUCACUGGCCCGCAACUGACGCUGAGUGCACGAAAGCGUGGGGAGCAAACGGG